rnacentral:lncRNA from 1 species
GGAGUGUCCACAAGUUGACAAGGAAGUUUCAUCAGUUUCUCUUUUUUCUUAUUUACAAGAAAUCAAGCAGCUAGCGUCUGAGAUUCAGACAAAUUGAUACGUUAUCUUCUUUUCCAUGGUAUCAGGAAACCCUCUGAAGUGGAUAUACUUGAGUUGCUUUAAGAAAAAAACCAUUGGUUUGUCCGGCAAAAAGAGGAAAACAAACAUGAACUGAUUGAUUGAUAUAUAUGCAGUUUGACAGGUCCUUUAGAGCUUAUCCAGCACACAUCAUGAUUGGUCUUGACUUUGCGCUUUACCACUUUGCUCUCCUGCUUAUCCUGUGGAAGAGUCCUCUGAUGCUCAAGCAUAUCCACUAUACAACCAGCCCGACUUGCCACAUAUAGUAGAGGAGAAACUGUAUACUUUUCAGUGACCAAGCUGUUUGUGGGAUCGACUUUAAAGAUAUUGAAAGGCUUGCCAGGGUCAAGCAUGACAAGGGCAGACUCCUCAAGUGGCCGAGGAAGCAUUGUGGCAGAAUCUGUGAAUUCACACUCUACUUCCCCCCCAUUAACGGACGUACAGAUAAAUCAC